rnacentral:rRNA from 1 species
CAAUAGCGUAUACUAAUGUUGCUGCAGUUAAAAAGCUCGUAGUCGAAUUUCUGCCCGUCGUCUCUGGGCAUGCUUAACAUAAGCAUUGCUCCGGAUCCGGCGACGGGCAUCAUCCUGUUGGCGUGCUCCACCUUUAAUUAGGUUGGUGUGUUGUCACAGGUCAUUUACUGUGAACAAAGGAGAGUGUUCAAGGCAGGCAGUCACGCCUGAAUCUUUUAGCAUGGAAUAAUAAGAUAGAACUUUAGUUGUAUUUUGUUGGCUGAACAACCAAAGUAAUGAUCGAUAGGGAUAGUUGGGGGUGCUCAUAUUCAUUGGGGAGCGGUGAAAUGCGUUGAUCCUUUGGAGAUGAACUAAUGCGAAAGCAUUCACCAAGGAUAUCUUCUUUG